AGACAUACCUAUGAUGCCGAAAAAAUAUGAAGUCGCGUUGAUUAUGGAAGGUUACAACUCUACGACCACGGAAGUUAGGAUCUUGAGGGAAGAGUGACUGUAUCAUCCUUCCGACUCGGUGCCCAAGACGUGUAGUGAAGUUGUUCAAAACUAGCUCAGGCUUAUGGUUUGUAGGGUUUCCAUGGUUCUUUAUAUCUUUGCGCAGGACAAGCUUAGAGAGCUUAAAAUGAGCAGU
rnacentral:misc_RNA from 1 species